ACGGAAGGCAGCAGUGGGGAAUAUUGCACAAUGGGGGAAACCCUGAUGCAGCGACGCCGCGUGAGUGAUGAAGUAUUUCGGUAUGUAAAGCUCUAUCAGCAGGGAAGAAAAUGACGGUACCUGACUAAGAAGCACCGGCUAAAUACGUGCCAGCAGCCGCGGUAAUACGUAUGGUGCAAGCGUUAUCCGGAUUUACUGGGUGUAAAGGGAGCGUAGGCGGCAUGGCAAGUCAGAUGUGAAAGCCCGGGGCCCAACCCCGGAACUGCAUUUGAACCUGUCGAGCUAGAGUGCCGGAGAGGUAAGCGGAAUUCCUAGUGUAGCGGUGAAAUGCGUAGAUAUUAGGAGGAACACCAGUGGCGAAGGCGGCUUACUGGACGGUAACUGACGCUGAGGCUCGAAAGCGUGGGGAGCAAACAGGAUUAGAUACCCU
rnacentral:rRNA from 1 species